AGAACUAACCGUGCUGCCCACAGCAAAGCAGCCACAGCCAGCUAUCCUUCCCUUGCACCAGCACUUGUGGGGAACAGUUCAGACGGCUGAUCCACGUUAGAUGCAAAUUCCACCCAAAAAUAAAAAAAAGAAGAAGAAACACCAAGAAAAGAUGAGUUCUCCUGACCCAUCACACCACAGCCAAGCAGCUCCUGGGUAGGCAGCUGCUACCACCAGACCCAGUAUGUUCAAUACGAAAUGGCAGGCUGCUCACAGUUAACCAAGCCACGUGAAACAUGCCAGAACUGCUGAGACUACAGGCGCUUGUUGAUGAUAACCCUUUCAUUCUGGGGAUACAGUAUAAAACAUUUCUCUUUUUUUCAUGCAUUGGGCUGGUUUGGUAUGAAAAGCUCUUAGAUGGCUCAUAAUAAAAUCUGUGACACUUCUAAACAAAUCCCUUUCUACUGAUAUUUGCUUUGCUUUGUGUCAUUUAAUGGCACAUAGCUCUACGCUGUCUCUUUUGUUUGGGAAAGCAGAACUAGCGUUAAUACAAAAAUUCAACAUGCUUCUUUCCUCUGUAUAAAAAUAGUAAAAUUGUUAAAAUGUUUUUGUUUCUUUAUUUUAUUUUCUUGGCCAAGGUUAGUAUUUUCAAUACUAUGCACUAAAAUGCAUGUCCAGCAUUAAGAUAUUAAGUUAUUAGCCGCUGUGCAACAUGCAUCUGCAAGCUGUACACCUCCACAAAAAUGGAUCAUUAAAGGAGAGAUCACAACAACAAGAGUAAUUCACGGACCUAAGGAUCUGUGGGCAGAGCUCUCCAUCCAGCAAGGUCCAUGCUGGGGUCUGCCCUGGGAGCUCAGGGCUGGAUCCACUCUGCUCUUGCAAACCUGCAAGGUUGGUGAUGGUACGUUUCUGGGCAAACUGCUUCCCAGCCCAUGGAGGGGAAAAGCUGCAGCUUCUGUACAGCCUGGGCCUUUCCACCUGCAACCCGGCUCUCUCGUCCCUGUUCCUCCCACCCCACCCCAAGCUUGACCUGCCGCUCGCAUCCCUGCCCCACAGCCCUACCUAAUGAUACGAGAAAGAGAAGCAAAGCUGUGACUGUGUGAUUAAGAACAAUGCUGACAAGAGAUAUUGCUGACUUGUAGCUGACGUCUCCAAAACAGCCAUCCACAGAAAGUAAUGGUCUGGCUAACAUCAAUAAUUAACAGAUAAUAGGAAAAUGUUAAAAUGGCAUGAUAAAGCAGGAUUCGAUCUGAAACAUCCGUGCCUCAGAUCCCCAGUGCAAGAAAGACACACUGCAGCAGGCUGUAUCCUAUGAAAGGUUAUUACUGUAAAGAAGUACUAUGAUCCAUAAUUAUUAUUCGUUGUACACCUCUACAGUUAAAAAAUCUAUACAGGUUGCAUUGAUGUGAUUUGUCCAAGUUGGGGAGCAAAUACUACUGCAGCAUUAAUUACUUGCAGAUAGUACCAUACAAAUUGUACCAAGAUAGCACUUUACCUUUUAAACUGAAAUCAUCUAUAGUGCCACUGCUGCCCCGGAGACAAGGGGCUAUUUGUAAUGAGAACCAUGCACAGGUUGCAUAAAACAACUUCAGAGCUGGAGAGUGCAACUCACGGCCCAUUCUUCUGCCAACGGCAGAAAGCAGGAAGUACAUCUGACACAGGAGGACCUCACACUAAGCCAUAAUUUAAAUUAUAACCUUGCAAAAAUCCCUCAAAAACUCAGUGACACAGCUCUGCUUCAGAUAGUGCUGUACAACCAUCACGUUCAGGGGCCACAGCAACUCAAAGCAAAGCCACAGUUCUGAGAGGCAGCACAGCAGGAUUCUGUAUGGCACAAAGUGACACCGUAGCAUCCAGCUGGAAGGUGGUGAUCAGCCCAGAAGCUGAAUGCUCCUCAAAGGGACAGUUUUGUUCUGAGAAGUAAAACCCUUCCUGACACCAUAGGCCACAGGCAUGAUUUGGGGUUGGACUGUCAGUUAGCCCAUACGUGUACCACCAGAACCACCCCAGGCUGCAAGGCGAUCUAACUGUGCCCAUGGCUCAGCAGCAUUUAAAUUCCAGAGGGAAAUGGAAGAAAUUCAUUAAAGGCCUUUUAUAAAUCAUGUAUUGUUUUGUUCCUUGGAUGACUGAGCAUGCUAAAGAAGUUAAAAAAUAAAUGAGUGUGCUUUG
ensembl:lncRNA